AGAGUUUGAUCCUGGCUCAGGACGAACGCUGGCGGCACGCUUAACACAUGCAAGUCGAACGGAGAACAUUGAGCUUGCUUAAUGUUCUUAGUGGCGGACGGGUGAGUAACACGUGAGUAACCUGCCUCUGAGAGUGGGAUAGCUUCUGGAAACGGAUGGUAAUACCGCAUAACAUCAUGGAUUCGCAUGUUUCUAUGAUCAAAGAUUUAUCGCUUAGAGAUGGACUCGCGUCUGAUUAGCUAGUUGGUAAGGUAACGGCUUACCAAGGCGACGAUCAGUAGCCGGACUGAGAGGUUGAUCGGCCACAUUGGGACUGAGACACGGCCCAGACUCCUACGGGAGGCAGCAGUGGGGAAUAUUGCACAAUGGGGGAAACCCUGAUGCAGCGAUGCCGCGUGGAGGAAGAAGGUUUUCGGAUUGUAAACUCCUGUUGAAGAGGACGAUAAUGACGGUACUCUUUUAGAAAGCUCCGGCUAACUACGUGCCAGCAGCCGCGGUAAUACGUAGGGAGCGAGCGUUGUCCGGAAUUACUGGGUGUAAAGGGAGCGUAGGCGGGAUCGCAAGUCAGAUGUGAAAACUAUGGGCUUAACCCAUAAACUGCAUUUGAAACUGUGGUUCUUGAGUGAAGUAGAGGUAAGCGGAAUUCCUAGUGUAGCGGUGAAAUGCGUAGAUAUUAGGAGGAACACCAGUGGCGAAGGCGGCUUACUGGACGAUUACUGACGCUGAGGCUCGAAAGCGUGGGGAGCAAACAGGAUUAGAUACCCUGGUAGUCCACGC
rnacentral:rRNA from 1 species